rnacentral:rRNA from 1 species
UACGUAGGUGGCAAGCGUUGUCCGGAUUUACUGGGCGUAAAGGGAGCGUAGGUGGAUAUUUAAGUGGGAUGUGAAAUACUCGGGCUUAACCUGAGUGCUGCAUUCCAAACUGGAUAUCUAGAGUGCAGGAGAGGAAAGUGGAAUUCCUAGUGUAGCGGUGAAAUGCGUAGAUAUUAGGAAGAACACCAGUGGCGAAGGCGACUUUCUGGACUGUAACUGACACUGAGGCUCGAAAGCGUGGGGAGCGAACAGGAUUAGAUACCCGGGUAGU